UACGUAGGCAGCGAGCGUUGUUCGGAAUUACUGGGCGUAAAGAGUGUGUAGGCGGUGCUCCAAGUCUGUUGUGAAAUCCCCCGGCUUAACUGGGAGGGUGCGGCGGAAACUAGAGUGCUAGAGGGUGGGAGAGGUAAGCGGAAUUCCUGGUGUAGCGGUGAAAUGCGUAGAUAUCCGGAAGAACACCGGUGGCGAAGGCGGCCUGCUGGGCAGUGGCUGACGCUGAUGCGCGACAGCGUGGGGAGCAAACAGG
rnacentral:rRNA from 1 species